CCGGAAUCAUUGAUGAAUCAUCAUCGUUAUCAUCAACAGCAGCAGUGGUGGAUUCAAGUACAGGGAGGUCUCCUUCAUCCUCUUCCUCGAGCAAUGAUGCACUGAAGGAAUUUUCAAUCUUCUUA